UAGGGAAUCUUCCGCAAUGGGCGAAAGCCUGACGGAGCAACGCCGCGUGAGUGAAGAAGGAUUUCGGUUCGUAAAGCUCUGUUGUUAGGGAAGAAUGAUUGUGUAGUAACUAUACACAGUAGAGACGGUACCUANCCCAGAAAGCCACGGCUAACUACGUGCCAGCAGCCGCGGUAAUACGUAGGUGGCAAGCGUUGUCCGGAAUUAUUGGGCGUAAAGCGCGCGCAGGUGGUUUAAUAAGUCUGAUGUGAAAGCCCACGGCUCAACCGUGGAGGGUCAUUGGAAACUGUUAAACUUGAGUGCAGGAGAGAAAAGUGGAAUUCCUAGUGUAGCGGUGAAAUGCGUAGAGAUUAGGAGGAACACCAGUGGCGAAGGCGGCUUUUUGGCCUGUAACUGACACUGAGGCGCGAAAGCGUGGGGAGCAAACAGGAUUAGAUACCCUGGUAGUCCACGCCGUUAAACGAUGAGUGCUAAGUGUUGGUCUCAUAAGAGAUCAGUGCUGCAGCUAACGCAUUAAGCACUCCGCCUGGGGGGUACGACCGCAAGGUUG
rnacentral:rRNA from 1 species